UCCCUGGUGGCUUAGAUGGUAAGAACCUGCCUGCAAUGCAGGAGACCCAGGUUCGAUCCCUGGGUUGGGAA
rnacentral:tRNA from 1 species